UACGAAGGGUGCAAGCGUUACUCGGAAUUACUGGGCGUAAAGCGUGCGUAGGCGGUUUGUUAAGUCCGUUGUGAAAGCCCUGGGCUCAACCUGGGAAUUGCAGUGGAUACUGGCGAGCUAGAGUGCGGUAGAGGAUGGUGGAAUUCCCGGUGUAGCAGUGAAAUGCGUAGAGAUGCGGAGGAACACCGAUGGCGAAGGCAGCCCCCUGGGCCAAUACUGACGCUCAGGCACGAAAGCGUGGGGAGCAAACAGG
rnacentral:rRNA from 1 species